UGUGACAGAAUAGUGUGAUAAAUUUAAGAUUUAUUUAUAAAGUUUAUCUUUCUUUAGAA
rnacentral:tRNA from 59 species